rnacentral:rRNA from 1 species
UGCGACCCCAGGUCAGGCGGGGCUACCCGCUGAGUUUAAGCAUA